rnacentral:rRNA from 1 species
GUGCAGCAGUCGCGAAAACUUUACAAUGUGCGAAAGCACGAUAAGGGAACUCUGAGUGCCUCCUAAGGAGGCUGUUCAGGUGUCUAAAAAGCACCUGAAGGAAGGGCUGGGUAAGACCGGUGCCAGCCGCCGCGGUAACACCGGCAGCCCAAGUGGUAGCCACGUUUAUUGGGUCUAAAGCGUCCGUAGCCGGCUGGGUAAGUUCCUUGGGAAAUUUGGCUGCUUAACAGUCAAGCUUUCAGGGAAUACUGCCCGGCUUGGGACCGGGAGAGGUCAGAGGUACUCCAGGGGUAGGGGUGAAAUCCAUUAAUCCUUGGGGGACCACCGGUAGCGAAGGCGUCUGACCAGACCGGGUCCGACGGUGAGGGACGAAGGCUA